GCACUUUGGGAGGCCGAGGCAGGUGGAUCACUUGAGGACAUGAGUUUGAUACCAUCUUGGCCAACAUGGUGAAACCUCAACUCUACUAAAAAUAU